rnacentral:rRNA from 1 species
AUACGGAGGACGCGAGCGUUAUCCGGAUUCAUUGGGUUUAAAGGGUGCGCAGGCGGCCGUGCAAGUCAGCGGUGAAAGCCCGGGGCCCAACCCCGGAAGUGCCGUUGAUACUGCAUGGCUUGAAUGCGGUCGAGGCGGGCGGGACGGGGCGGGUAGCGGUGGAAUGCGUAGAUAUGCCACAGAACGCCGAUAGCGGAGGCAGCUCGCCAGGCCUGCAUUGACGCUCGGGCACGAAAGCGUGGGGAUCGAACAGGAUUAGAUACCCUGGUAGUCCACGCCGUAAACGAUGGGCGCUCGUCGUCGGCGGCAGACAGUCGGCGGCCAAGCGAAAGCGAUAAGCGCCCCACCUGGGGAGUACGGUCGCAAGGCUGAAACUCAAAUGAAUUGACGGGG